rnacentral:rRNA from 1 species
ACGGGUGAGUAACACGUGGGCAACCUGCCUAUAAGACUGGGAUAACUUCGGGAAACCGGAGCUAAUACCGGAUAACAUAUGAGACCACAUGGUCUCAUAUUAAAAGAUGGCUUUUAGCUAUCACUUAUAGAUGGGCCCGCGGCGCAUUAGCUAGUUGGUGAGGUAAUGGCUCACCAAGGCGACGAUGCGUAGCCGACCUGAGAGGGUGAUCGGCCACACUGGGACUGAGACACGGCCCAGACUCCUACGGGAGGCAGCAGUAGGGAAUCUUCCGCAAUGGACGAAAGUCUGACGGAGCAACGCCGCGUGAGCGAAGAAGGUCUUCGGAUCGUAAAGCUCUGUUGUUAGGGAAGAACAAGUACCGUUCGAAUAGGGCGGUACCUUGACGGUACCUAACCAGAAAGCCACGGCUAACUACGUGCCAGCAGCCGCGGUAAUACGUAGGUGGCAAGCGUUAUCCGGAAUUAUUGGGCGUAAAGCGCGCGCAGGCGGUCCUUUAAGUCUGAUGUGAAAGCCCACGGCUCAACCGUGGAGGGUCAUUGGAAACUGGGGGACUUGAGUGCAGAAGAGGAGAGCGGAAUUCCACGUGUAGCGGUGAAAUGCGUAGAGAUGUGGAGGAACACCAGUGGCGAAGGCGGCUCUCUGGUCUGUAACUGACGCUGAGGCGCGAAAGCGUGGGGAGCGAACAGGAUUAGAUACCCUGGUAGUCCACGCCGUAAACGAUGAGUGCUAAGUGUUAGAGGGUUUCCGCCCUUUAGUGCUGCAGCAAACGCAUUAAGCACUCCGCCUGGGGAGUACGGUCGCAAGACUGAAACUCAAAGGAAUUGAC